rnacentral:lncRNA from 1 species
AUGUCAGACAACGAGGACAAUUUUGAUGGAGACGACUUUGAUGACGUGGAGGAGGAUGAAGGGCUCGAUGACUUGGAGAAUGCCGAGGAGGAGGGCCAGGAGAACGUUGAGAUUCUCCCUUCUGGAGAGCGACCGCAGGCCAACCAGAAACGAAUCACCACACCAUAUAUGACCAAGUAUGAGCAAGCCCGUGUGCUGGGCACCCGAGCCCUUCAGAUUGCGAUGUGCGCCCCUGUGAUGGUGGAGCUGGAGGGGGAGACAGAUCCCUUACUGAUCGCCAUGAAGGAGCUCAAGGCCCGGAAGAUCCCCAUCAUCAUUCGCCGCUACCUACCCGACGGGAGCUACGAAGACUGGGGCGUCGACGAGCUCAUCAUCACCAACUAA